rnacentral:rRNA from 1 species
UACGGGGGGGGUUAGUGUUAUUCAUCAUUACUGGGUGUAAAGCGCGUGUAGACGGUUUAAAAAGUUCUAAUUAAAACAAUCUAAGCAUAACUUAGAAAUUAAUUUUUAUACUUUAGACUAGAGGUUGGAGGGAGAAAGCUAUACUUCUUAGAGAAAAGUGAAAUUUGUCCGAACUGAGGGGAUAACCAGCAGGCGAAAGCGGCUUCUAUGACAAUACUGACGUUUUGGCGCAAAAGCUUGGGGGUCAAACGGG